AUGAACGCUGGCGGCGUGCCUAAUACCUGCAAGUCGAGCGAACGGACGAGAAGCUUGCUUCUCUGAUGUUAGCGGCGGACGGGUGAGUAACACGUGGAUAACCUACCUAUAAGACUGGGAUAACUUCGGGAAACCGGAGCUAAUACCGGAUGAUAUUUUGAACCGCAUGGUUCAAAAGUGAAAGACGGUCUUGCUGUCACUUAUAGAUGGAUCCGCGCUGCAUUAGCUAGUUGGUAAGGUAACGGCUUACCAAGGCAACGAUGCAUAGCCGACCUGAGAGGGUGAUCGGCCACACUGGAACUGAGACACGGUCCAGACUCCUACGGGAGGCAGCAGUAGGGAAUCUUCCGCAAUGGGCGAAAGCCUGACGGAGCAACGCCGCGUGAGUGAUGAGGGUCUUCGGAUCGUAAAACUCUGUUAUUAGGGAAGAACAUAUGUGUAAGUAACUGUGCACAUCUUGACGGUACCUAAUCAGAAAGCCACGGCUAACUACGUG
rnacentral:rRNA from 1 species